rnacentral:misc_RNA from 1 species
AUCAUAGCAUGUUUUACAAUUAUUUUUUUUACCUUAUUAAUGAUAACAGUAAUGAAGGACUAAACACAUAUAAUGAUGGACUAAACCCAUAUCACAUCAGAUUAUAGUCCAACUCAAAUCAUUGUCUAUUUGCAGCAAUUAUGGAGGAUAUGGUCCCUUAGGCCUAAGCUCAAUAAAAUAACGCUGAAAACAGAAUCAUGCUGCUCCAACAUGAUUUGUCAACA